rnacentral:sRNA from 1 species
GCCAGGUACGGUGGCCCACGCCUGUAAUCCCAGCACCUCGGGAGGCUGAGGCAGGAGGAUCUUGAGUUCAAAGCCAGCCUCAGCAAUUUAGCAAGACUCUGUCUCAA